CCUACGGGAGGCAGCAGGAAGGAAUUUUUGUCAAUCAGGGGGGCCCUGAACGAGCAACGCCGCGUGGGCGAAGGAGUCCUUCGGGAUGUAAAAACCUUUUUUUUUUGAAGAAAGAAAGACGGUAGCAGGGGAAUAAGCAUCGGCUAACUACGUGCCAGCAGCCGCGGUAAUACGUAGGAUGCCAGCGUUGUCCGGAAUUAUUGGGCGUAAAGAGCGCGCAGGCGGUUUUACAAGUCAGAUGUGAAAGAGCCCGGGUUAACCGGCAAGGGUCAUUUGAAAAAUCAGACUAGAAGCAGCGGAAGAUAAGGGAAAAUUCCGUGUAGUGGUUGAAAAGGUAGAAGAUUUGGGGAACCACCCCUGCGAAGGGGGCUAUUUUGGGCGAAAACGACGGUGAGGCGCGAAGAAUAGGGGGGCAAACAAGAUUAGAUACCCCCGUAAUCCUACCCGUAAAAGAAGGAUAAUUGGUGUUGGGGGAAAUUGACCCCCUCAGUGCCGCAGCAACACAAUAAGAUCCGCCGG
rnacentral:rRNA from 1 species